rnacentral:rRNA from 1 species
AGCUCCAAUAGCGUAUAUUAAAGUUGUUGUGGUUAAAAAGCUCGUAGUUGGAUUUCGGCGGGUAGUGGUUGGUUUGAAUUGAUUCAACACUGACUUUUUUACCCGUGUGUUUUCCCAAAUUUUUCGGGGGGUCUUUUACGAUUUUCCCGUUGGAACUGGCAGGUUUACUUUGAAAAAAUUAGAGUGCUCAAAGCAAGCUUACUGCUUGAAUAGUUGCGCAUGGAAUAAUAGAAUAGGAAGUCGUUUCUAUUUUGUUGGUUUUCGGAAAUCGACUUAAUGAUUAAUAGGGAUAGUCGGGGGCAUUCGUAUUCAAACGACAGAGGUGAAAUUCUUGGACCGUUUGAAGACGAACUAAGGCGAAAGCAUUUGCCAAGAAUGUUUUCA